AUUGAACGCUGGCGGCAGGCCUAACACAUGCAAGUCGAACGGUAACAGGAAGAAGCUUGCUUCUUUGCUGACGAGUGGCGGACGGGUGAGUAAUGUCUGGGAAACUGCCUGAUGGAGGGGGAUAACUACUGGAAACGGUAGCUAAUACCGCAUAACGUCGCAAGCCCAAAGAGGGGGACCUUCGGGCCUCUUGCCAUCGGAUGUGCCCAGAUGGGAUUAGCUAGUAGGUGGGGUAACGGCUCACCUAGGCGACGAUCCCUAGCUGGUCUGAGAGGAUGACCAGCCACACUGGAACUGAGCCACGGUCCAGACUCCUACGGGAGGCAGCAGUGGGGAAUAUUGCACAAUGGGCGCAAGCCUGAUGCAGCCAUGCCGCGUGUAUGAAGAAGGCCUUCGGGUUGUAAAGUACUUUCAGCGGGGAGGAAGGGAGUAAAGUUAAUACCUUUGCUCAUUGACGUUACCCGCAGAAGAAGCACCGGCUAACUCCGUG
rnacentral:rRNA from 1 species